rnacentral:lncRNA from 1 species
AUGUGGCGGGCAACGGUUGGUCAGUUUAAACUGCCGGGCGGCUGGAAGCUGGGGAGAGCUGAUGAGGCAGGUGGUGAUUGGUCAGCUGGUUGCUGGAUGGGAGGUGGCUGCAGCUGGGCGGGAAGGCCAGAACGCCAAACUGCACUCAGUAUAAAUUACCAGGAUGUCCCAGGGACUUUAACCCUGUGUGUGGCAGUGACAUGUCCACUUAUCCCAAUGAGUGUACUCUGUGCAUAAAAAUCAGGUAACAUAAUUUUACAACUGUAAAAUUUUUCUUCAUUACUUUGUUUUUUGCUUGUUUGUUUCUUUGUUUUUUGAGACAGAGCCUCACUCUGUCACCCAGGGUGGAGUGCAGUGGUGAAAUCUUGGCUCACUGCAACCUCUGCCUCCUGGGUUCAAGCAAUUCUCAUAUCUCAGCCUCCCAAUUAGCUGGGAUUACAGGCACUACCAUGCCCGGCUAAUUUUGUGUUUUUGGUAGAUAUGGGGUUUCAUCAUGUUGGCCAGGUUGGUUUCAAACUCCUGACCUCAAGUGAUCCACCUGCUUUGGCCUCCCAAAGUGUUGGGAUUACAGGUGUGAGCCACCAUGCCUGGCCUCUUCAUUUCUUUUGUUGGAUUUUGAUUACUUAGGAGGUAAUGUCUAUUUUCUUGUAUAUAAGUAUCAAAAGUGACAUGGUAGUUCUCAGUUUUAGGGUGUUGGUUAAAAAGAUGCAAAAUCCUCAUUGCAUUUUUCAAGCCAAGUUAGAGAAUGAGAUGUAAUCAAAUUAUAUUAUUGUCCAUGAAUUCGAAAUUUUCUAAAAUUCAGAGUCUACUGAAUAAUUAAACUCUGUGGAGUAUUAAAUUUUAUUUUUAAUUCAAAGGGCUUGUGUGGGUGAUCUGCACACCCUGUCCUAGUAGUCAGGAAGUAGGACUUACUGAUUCUACUUAGUGGAAUGCUAAGUAAUGAGUGUAUUAUACUUGAUACGCUUUAUGUAGCACACCUGACCAGGUGACUGUGACUGCUUCUUCAGGUAUGCAGCUUUGUAUAGAACAGGGAUUCAUUAUCUGACUUCAGUUGGUCUUCUCUGAUUCUUUUUUUUUCUUUUUGAGACUGAGUCUCACUUGUCUCCUGGCUCACUGCAACCUCUUCCUCCCAGGUUCAAGUGAUUCUCCUGCUUCAGCCUCCUAAGCAGCUGGAAUUACAGGCAUGUACCAUCACACCUGACUAAUUUUUGUAUAUAUAUAUUAUGUUUUUUUAUUUGGAAUUUUGCUCUUGUUAC